rnacentral:rRNA from 1 species
GAACGCCCCUUCGGGGGAGUGGCAGACGGGUGAGUAACGCGUGGGAAUCUACCCAAUGGUACGGAAUAACGCAGGGAAACUUGUGCUAAUACCGUAUAAGCCCUUCGGGGGAAAGAUUUAUCGCCAUUGGACGAGCCCGCGUUGGAUUAGCUAGUUGGUGAGGUAAAGGCUCACCAAGGCGACGAUCCAUAGCUGGUCUGAGAGGAUGAUCAGCCACACUGGGACUGAGACACGGCCCAGACUCCUACGGGAGGCAGCAGUGGGGAAUAUUGGACAAUGGGCGAAAGCCUGAUCCAGCCAUGCCGCGUGGGUGAAGAAGGCCUUAGGGUUGUAAAUCCCUUUCAGCGGGGAAGAUAAUGACGGUACCCGCAGAAGAAGCCCCGGCUAACUCCGUGCCAGCAGCCGCGGUAAUACGGAGGGGGCUAGCGUUGUUCGGAAUUACUGGGCGUAAAGCGCACGUAGGCGGACUGUUUAGUCAGAGGUGAAAUCCCGGGGCUCAACCUCGGAAUUGCCUUUGAUACUGACAGUCUUGAGUUCGAGAGAGGUGAGUGGAAUUCCGAGUGUAGAGGUGAAAUUCGUAGAUAUUCGGAGGAACACCAGUGG